GUGCGGAACAUACCUUUUGAAAAUUAAUAAUAAAACACCCACGUAUAUCACUUGUAACCCUGAUGUGCAUAUUUCUACCAAUGAAUAUUAAAUGGAAUAGCUGCUUUAAUGAUGCUUCCCUGGCAAAUUAAUUGAAGAAGGUGGAACCAUAAAUAAAAAAAUGCUAUUCUAUUCAAAAUGUACAUUACUAAUUAUGCAUGUUCCUUACUUUAACGACCAGUUGAUUUUUUUCGUUUUGUUUGAACAUUUAUCUAAACUUUUUUGUCGACCGAAUUAUUAUUAGGAUCGUAAAUCUGACCAUGCACGACUAAACGCAUUUAUGUAACUCUCGAACAAAUAAUGAAGCCAUGCUAAUUACUUCUACAAACUUAGGUAGGUACGAAAAAUUAUGUAACAUGCUUCUUUACCGCUUUGUAUAUAAAUGCAGAUUCGAUUCACCUUAUUCAUAUUAUUAAUACAUUCUACCUUUGCAAUACGUUGUACCAAAAUUAACAAACCACAAAAUAAAAUUUAGUGAAGGGAACAAUUUUCAUUGUAGGUGGAUACAUAUUUUUAACCAAGAAUAAGUCGAAAUGUUGCAACCCUUCUUAUUAGCUACGUGUGCAUUUCUCCUUUUGGUGAAUGUUUCCGAGAACGAGGCUGCCGUCAAUAUUCCGGGCGCUGAAGAAGUUACGAAAUUCCAACUGAACUUUCAUGAGAAGCAAUUUUCUUGCGCCAAGUAUGACGGAGUUGCUGCGUGCUACCACAAUAAUUGGCAUAAGCGGGAUCUGCAGUGUUCUGGAAGCGGGUGCAAGGCGAAGAAUAGAUUUUCUUACACACCUAACAAACUCAUGGGAGGGAAAUGCUAUUGCUGCAAAUGUUAGGGACCGUUCAUGAAUUAUGUUACGCAUAAAUGCCAAUUUUUCAGACCCCUCUUGUCACGUGUUACAUCUAAUUUUCAUGUUGGGCCCUGUCACUGUCACGCAAAACUUAUGUAUGCCGUCUCACCCAUCUUAUACCGUGACAUAAUUUAGGAGCAUCCCCCUUCAUGUUGAAGUAUACUUUUAAAAAUAAUGUUAUUCUUUUGAAAAGUAAAUACAAUUUGUGUUCCAAAUCCUGAAUAAACUUAACUCUUUUUCAGGUAA